rnacentral:rRNA from 1 species
UACGUAGGAGGCAAGCGUUGCCCGGAGUUACUGGGCGUAAAGCGCACGCAGGCGGUCGCAUCAGUCUGGGGUGACAGUUCCCGGCCUAACCGGGAAAGUGCUCUGGAAACUGUGCGACUUGAGGGCUUCAGAGGGAUGUGGAAUUCCAGGUGGAGUGGUGAAAUGCGUAGAGAUCUGGAAGAACACCAAAGGCGAAGGCAGCAUCCUGGGAAGUUCCUGACGCUCGGGUGCGAAAGCCAGGGGAGCGAACGGG